GUGGGGCCUCCGGUUGCCGCCCCCUCGGGUAAGGCCCUCUGCUCCUCACUCUUCGGCCCUUUUUCUCAUAGCCGUUUCUCUGUUCUUCCUCUUUGCGUUGCUCUGCGGGCGCUACGCUGGCUCCGCCGCCUUCUUUGCCGUUCAAACCCCGGGGUUGUCCUUACCCUAGCGAAGGUAGGGGGGUCGGGUGCCAUCGUCUUUCCGACGGAGUGGAUAUUUGUCCCUCCUUGAACCACAUGGUACCUAAAGGUGCUGGUGUCUGUGAUCCCUGGAGACAGGAGGGAAUGCUGGAUGAUCCCGACCAGCGGGAGCUUGGACAGCAGCCUGGUUUAAGCAAGGGGUAGGGAAAGCCAAAGACAAGAGUAGGCAGACCUGAAGGGGUGGGGUUGGGUACAGUGUGGACGGCGUGUGAACCCCGGGUGGUAACAGUGGAGAAAGAUGUCUUGGGCCCUGCCCCUGAACUAGGAGCCACCAUGUUGGUGAUACCCCCCGGACUGAGCGAGGAAGAGGAGGCUCUGCAGAAGAAAUUCAACAAACUCAAGAAAAAGAAAAAGGCAUUGCUGGCUCUGAAGAAGCAAAGUAGCAGCAGCACAACCAGCCAAGGUGGUGUCAAACGCUCACUAUCAGAGCAGCCUGUCGUGGACACAGCCACAGCAACAGAGCAGGCAAAGCAGCUGGUGAAGUCAGGAGCCAUCAGUGCCAUCAAGGCUGAGACCAAGAACUCAGGCUUCAAGCGUUCUCGAACCCUUGAGGGGAAGUUAAAGGACCCCGAGAAGGGACCAGUCCCCACUUUCCAGCCGUUCCAGAGGAGCAUAUCUGCUGAUGAUGACCUGCAAGAGUCAUCCAGACAUCCCCAGAGGAAAUCUCUGUAUGAGAGGUUAGAGAGUAGAGAUAAGACUGGGCCCAUUUGGUGGAGUUGAUUGCCUGAGUCCUUGGGAGGUUUGGGCUGUAGGAGCUGGGCUAUAGAGGGAAUAUUGAGUCUCCACAGGGUCUGAGGGGAGAAGGUAAAACCCCCCUUUGAUCUUCAGUCUGCAUCUCCCCAGCUUUGUGUCUUCUAGUGAUCGACUUCGAGAACUAGGACCAGAUGGAGAAGAGGCAGAGGGCCCAGGGGCUGGUGAUGGUCCCCCUCGAAGCUUUGACUGGGGCUAUGAAGAACGCAGUGGUGCCCACUCCUCAGCCUCCCCUCCCCGAAGCUGCAGCCGGGACCGCAGCCAUGAGAGGAACCGGGACAGAGACCGAGAUCGGGAGCGGGAUCGAGACCGGGAUCGAGACAGAGACAGAGAGCGGGACAGGGAUCGGGAUCGGGAUCGGGAUCGAGAUCGAGACCGGGAACGGGACAGGGAUCGGGAGCGGGAUCGAGACCGAGACCGAGAGGGUCCUUUCCGCAGGUCGGAUUCAUUCCCUGAACGGCGAGCCCCUAGGAAAGGGAAUACCCUCUAUGUAUAUGGAGAAGACAUGACACCCACCCUUCUCCGUGGGGCCUUCUCUCCUUUUGGAAACAUCAUUGACCUCUCCAUGGACCCACCCAGAAACUGUGCCUUCGUCACCUAUGAAAAGAUGGAGUCAGCAGAUCAGGCCGUUGCUGAGCUCAACGGGACCCAGGUGGAGUCUGUACAGCUCAAAGUCAACAUAGCCCGAAAACAGCCCAUGCUGGAUGCCGCUACUGGCAAGUCUGUCUGGGGCUCCCUCGCUGUCCAGAACAGCCCUAAGGGUUGCCACCGGGACAAGAGGACCCAGAUUGUCUACAGUGAUGACGUCUACAAGGAAAACCUUGUGGAUGGCUUCUAGGGAACAGAGCUGGAUUCCUUGUGCCUCAUAUGCCCCAAUGCUGGUCUCAGUAAAACACUGAGGUGGAAGCUUA
rnacentral:sRNA from 1 species